GAUGAACGCUGGCGGCGUGCCUAAUACAUGCAAGUCGAGCGAACGGACGAGAAGCUUGCUUCUCUGAUGUUAGCGGCGGACGGGUGAGUAACACGUGGAUAACCUACCUAUAAGACUGGGAUAACUUCGGGAAACCGGAGCUAAUACCGGAUAAUAUUAUGAACCGCAUGGUUCAAAAGUGAAAGACGGUCUUGCUGUCACUUAUAGAUGGAUCCGCGCUGCAUUAGCUAGUUGGUAAGGUAACGGCUUACCAAGGCAACGAUGCAUAGCCGACCUGAGAGGGUGAACGCCCACAGUAGAACUGAGACACGGUCCAGACUCCUACGGGAGGCAGACGUCGGGAAUCUUCCGCAAUGGCCGAAAGCCUGACGGAGCAACGCCGCGCGAGUGAUGAAGGUCUUCGGAGCGUAAAACUCUGUUAUUAGGGAAAAACAUAUGUGUAAGUAACUGUGCACAUCUUGACGGUACCUAAUCAGAAAGCCACGGCUAACUACGUG
rnacentral:rRNA from 1 species